CUUCGCUAAGCAUCACGGCGAGGAAAGUGAUUGGGAAUCAACGACUUAGUGUCCUAGUACACGUCUCUUUUCCCGCUCCAGA
rfam:Stenotrophomonas sp. Leaf70 contig_4, whole genome shotgun sequence.